UACGGGGGGGGCAAGCGUUGUUCGGAAUUACUGGGCGUAAAGGGCUCGUAGGUGGCCAACUAAGUCAGACGUGAAAUCCCUCGGCUUAACCGGGGAACUGCGUCUGAUACUGGAUGGCUUGAGGUUGGGAGAGGGAUGCGGAAUUCCAGGUGUAGCGGUGAAAUGCGUAGAUAUCUGGAGGAACACCGGUGGCGAAGGCGGCAUCCUGGACCAAUCCUGACGCUGAGGAGCGAAAGCCAGGGGAGCAAACGGG
rnacentral:rRNA from 1 species